rnacentral:rRNA from 1 species
CGGAGGGUGCAAGCGUUAUCCGGAUUUAUUGGGUUUAAAGGGUCCGUAGGCGGAUCCGUAAGUCAGUGGUGAAAUCUCACAGCUUAACUGUGAAACUGCCAUUGAUACUGCGGGUCUUGAGUAAGGUAGAAGUGGCUGGAAUAAGUAGCGUAGCGGUGAAAUGCAUAGAUAUUACUUAGAACACCAAUUGCGAAGGCAGGUCACUAUGUCUUAACUGACGCUGAUGGACGAAAGCGUGGGGAGCGAACAGGAUUAGAUACCCUGGUAGUCCACGCCGUAAACGAUGCUAACUCGUUUUUGGGCUUUCGGGUUCAGAGACUAAGCGAAAGUGAUAAGUUAGCCACCUGGGGAGUACGUUCGCAAGAAUG